ACGAACGCUGGCGGCGUGCUUAACACAUGCAAGUCGAACGGUGAAGAGAAGCUUGCUUCUUGGAUCAGUGGCGAACGGGUGAGUAACACGUGAGCAAUCUGCCCUUGACUCUGGGAUAAGCGUUGGAAACGACGUCUAAUACCGGAUACGACCCUCGGAGGCAUCUCCUGGGGGUGGAAAGAAUUUUGGUCAAGGAUGAGCUCGCGGCCUAUCAGCUAGUUGGUGAGGUAAUGGCUCACCAAGGCGACGACGGGUAGCCGGCCUGGGAGGGUGACCGGCCACACUGGGACUGAGACACGGCCCAGACUCCUACGGGAGGCAGCAGUGGGGAAUAUUGCACAAUGGGCGAAAGCCUGAUGCAGCAACGCCGCGUGAGGGACGAAGGCCUUCGGGUUGUAAACCUCUUUUAGUAGGGAAGAAGCGAAAGUGACGGUACCUGCAGAAAAAGCACCGGCUAACUACGU
rnacentral:rRNA from 1 species